GUUGGCAAAUAGUCUGAUCAAUUAACUAAAAGUGUCAGUUUAUAUCUUUAUAGAUCAAAUUGUAAGUAAAUAUCUUCUUUUAUUUGAUUGGUAAUAUAUGAUUAUAAAACGCUUUAAAUAUUACAAAUAUAUAAAGAAAAUCAAAAAUGAUCUUCUUACAUUUUGUGUAAAAAGAUUUGUAUGUACAGCUGUUAAAAAUAUUAACAAUCUUUUUCAAAGACGUUUGAGAAAAUUCCUUGAAAUUUCACUUUGUGUUAUGCUUAAUAUUAUUGAGACAGUAUUGUUUUCAUGGUUGAUUCGGAUCAAGUCUAUUUUGAAAUUUGAAAUCUAUAUGACAUAAAUUCGAAAGACUCUUUUUACAUUUCGGUCAAUUACACAUUUUUUUUUUAUCAAAAAAUUGAAAUUAACUCCUGAAUGGCGUUGUUCUUCUUGUCUUUUGAAUUGCGUUGAAACUUUCUGUCAUAGAAAACUGAAAUUGCCUCCUGAUUAGCCAUUUGAAACAAUUGUUCUGCUUAUACUUUGAAUUGUCGGUGAAAUUUUCUGUCAUAGAUGCGCAUCGUUUAUAUUUUUUUAACCACACAGUGGUUGUAAUUACGCAAUGGAAAAUGUGUCUUUAAAAAUGUUAAACUUUACCGUGCAUUGUUUUGAUUUGUAAAUGUUAUAAUCGACUAGAAACUGAAAGAAAAUUAUGACUUCCAAAUAUAUUUGCAACUUUUGUUUAGCUAUUCUAAAAUAGAUGUCGUAUUAAAACAUGUAAAAAUAUACAAUGUUUUUUUUGGUGACAGGUUCUUGUAAUGUCGCGUUUUUACAAUGAAUUCCAAUUUUUAAGUAAGCAUGUUGAAAUAUCAAAGAAUUCAUCUUACUUUGUAGCAAAAAUAAGACCAAUGAAAUUGUAAAAUUGAGAAUGGAAAUGGGGAAUUAUCUUUUGAUUAUCCCCACUAUGGAGUUCCUUAUAGCAAAGCAAGGUCGUUAAACACUUCAGUAGUAGAAGUAUUGAUUAUUUUUUUUUACUGUGGGAGAACAAUAUUUGAUGACAGUUGUUAUCUUGUAGUUCGUUUCUGUGCGUGUUGCAUUGUCGUUUGUUUUUUGUUCACUUCAGUGUUUUGUUGUUUCGUUGUUUUCCUCUUAUAAUUGAUGUGUUUCUCUCGGUUGUAGUUUGUAACCCAGAUUUGUUUUUGUAUCAAUCGAUUUAUGACUUUUGAACACCGGUAUAUUUAUGUUGCCUUUAUUUAUCAUAAACGUUAGUUCCGACUAUCAUUGAAGCUCCUAACAACCGUUUACGCAUGAGUAGUAAACUUUUUCUCUACAGUUAAUGCCAUGAUUAUACGUUUGUACAUGUAAAUUGUUUCCUUGUUUUUUGUUUUUAUACUGUUGAAAUGUACUUCAUAACUUCCCAAAGUAUCUAAUAUUAAUUGACAGAAUUCAAAAAUUCAAAUCAUUGUUAUAUUCAUCUAACACGAAUUGACUGGGUUUUAAAAUUCUCAUCACCAGCAUAAGAGUCAGACAUGAAUUUAUUAAAGUUAUCUUCACAUGUAUAAAUAUCUGACAUUCAUUGAAUAAAGAAAUGCACAAGUGUGUAUGAGUGGGAAGACAGGAACAUUUUUCCUAAUUCAACUUUUGACUAACAAUGGAGAUAGCGUCACAGCUGAUGUAAAUCAAAAUUCUCGUGAUGUUCUUCCCUAUGUACUUGAACAAUAGUGUUUAUUUAUUUUCACAUAUUAUUUUUCAUUUAUUAUAUUUCAGAAAUUUGAUCGUAUUUUUUUCAGCUUCGUAUAUAAUUUUUUGGGACUGUUGUUUCUAUUUCCGUGUACACUAAGUGGGAUGCACUUUGUUUCUGUUGCCUGCAUGGUUAUUUUUAUCCUGUCUACAGGCAGAUUUUAUGUUCAUGUUUGUGUUAUGCAGUAUGUAUGUCGACCUCUUAUUUCGGUUGAGUUUAUUUAUCAACGAUGUGAAUAAAGUUAACAGGAACAAUACUAGAUCUCCUCUUACAAUAUAAAUUUCAAAAUGACAUAUAUUUUUAUUGUUUCCUCUUUACUGAUAAUCACCUAAUAUAUAAAUUAAUAUUGAAUGUAAAGAUCACUCUAGUUGUCACUUGAUUAACGAAUAGUUCUUGAUGAGAAACAAAUCAGAUUUCUAAAAAUAUAAUAAAUUAAAACCAACAGAUGAAAAAACUAAUCAAACUAUUGUUCAAGUACAUAGGGAAUAAAAUCUAGAUUUUUUUUACAUCAAGUGUUACACUUUAUUCUUAAUCAAACGCGAAUUCCUGUCUUCCCACUAAUACACACUUUAUUCGAGUGUUUCUUUAUUCAAUUACUAACAGAUACUUAUACUAGUGUAGACAAAUGUGCACUUAAAUAAAUUCAUGUCUGACUCAUAUAUAAGUGAGAGGGUUAGCGCUAUAGAACCAGGUUUAAUCCACCAUUUUCUACAUUUGAAAAUGCCUGUACCAAGUCAGGAAUAUGACAGUUCUUGUCCAUUCGUUUUUGAUGCGUUUUGUUAUUUGAUUUUGCCAUGUGAUUAUGGACUUUCCCAAUUGAUCUUCCUCUAAGUUCAGUAUUUUUGUGAUUUUACUUUAUACCAGUGUAGAUAAAUUUUUAGUUUAAAAAAUUCAUGUCGGAUUCUUGUACUGGUGAAGAGAAUGUUUGUCAUCAGUCAAUUUUUGUUAUAUACCUAAACUAACUAAAACUGAAAUGACAGUCAGAACUAAUGUUUUUGAAAGGAUAAAAUUGUUCUCUCACAGCCAAAAAUCAUUCGAUACUACUAUUACUGAAUUGUUUUACGCCAUUGAUUGGCUAUAAGGAACUCGCAUAGUCGGGAUAAUCAUAAGAUAUGUUCAAUUCCAUUGGUCUUAUUAUUGCUACGAAAUAUGGUGGCAUCGUUUGAUACAACUACUACGGAAGUGUUAAACGCUAGCUAAACGACUUUGACACUUGUUUGACAAUUUAGAUGAAAAACAAAUGUUUGAAAUUUGUUCUACAAUAGUUUUGUUAAACGCCUCGAAUUGCAUGAUUAAAGGAAUCAUACAUGUCUUGUUAUGGUCAAUGUUGUCAUUUGGUCAAUGUUUUCAUUUGGUCGAUGUUUCAUGAACGUGAAACAAAAACUCUAUUUGAUUGUUACUUACUUCUGGAUCAAUAUAUUUGAGGUGUAUACUUUUAUUUGAUUAGGAACGUUCCAUUUUGAAUUUUUCUCGGAGUUCAUAUUUUUGUGAUUUUACUUUUCACUUAUCAUACAUUUGAAGGAAGUUCUAUUUUAUUCUAUUUAAUAAAAAGAAAAUACAGUGUUUGGACUUUGCAGCUAGGAAGAAUAACACUAACUUAUUGUGAGCUGAACGAAAACCUGUUUUGUCUUUUAUUUGUACAUACGUUACAAGGAUCUAUUUCUUUUUUAAAAUCAAGUAAUUUAUUCUGAGAAGACAAAUAAAAAGGUACAUAUCUGGUUUUAAUAAAUUAGAGGCAAUUGACUAAACAUAAGAUUGAAUUACUUAAAAAAAAAGCAUAUACACAUUAAAUUGAUGUCAUACAUGUAUUAGACAAAUGAACAGCUACGACCUUUAAACAUCAAUUCAAACAUGUUUCAUAGUUUUUCCGACAUCAAAAUUCCUAAAAGAGUUAUUUUUUUAAAGUAAUAUGUAUUUUACUUGAUAUUUUGUUAUAUAUACGUCAUAAUUAAUAUGACCGUAUCGAUGGUCUCGUGUAAGAGUUAUACCAAGUGUGUUAUCCAUUCAAACUCGUUAGUUCUGGCUGUCAUUAACGCGCGUCUGGCGUAAAUUCAAAAUUUGAUCCUGAUAUCUAUGAUGAGUUUAUUUUCAGCUCCUGAUAGCUGUUUUAGCAUGAGGAGUAAACUUGCAUUAUGCCAUACUUAAACAUGUGUACACGUUAUUUGUUUCUUUGUGUUAAGACUGGUGUGAUGCAUUUGAAUACUUCCAUCUUAUAUUAAUUGACUGAACUGAAAAAUUCUAAUUACUGGUUUAUAUAUCUUGCAUGAAUUGACUGAAGUUAAAAAUUCUCAUCACCAGUAUAUUAAAGUCAGACAUAAAUUUAUUUAAAUGUAAAUUUAUCUAAACUGGUAAAAAUAUCUGAUAUUCUUUUUUAUAAAGAAACUAACAAAUAUAAUAUGUAUAAGUGUAAGACAGGAAAAUCUCCCCCAUAAGUUCGACAUUUGAUUAACAAUGAAGAUAUGUUGAUGUAAAAUUAUCUUGAAUUUCUUCCCUGUGUACUUGAACAAUAGUUUUAUCAGUUAUUUUCAUCUAUUUUUGUUCAUUUAUUUUAUUUUAGGCUUCUGAUCGCAUAUUUUUCAGCUUGAUAUAUAAGUUGGAAACUGUGUUUUUCUAUUUCCGUGAUUUGCACUUUGUAUCUGAUACCUGCAUGGAUAUUUUCAUCAUGCAAUUCGAGUUGUUUAACAAAACUAAUGUAGAACUAGUUUUAAAUAGUUGUUUCUCAUUUAAAAUUGAUUGUCAAUCAAGUAAGAACCAGGGUGCUCUUUACAUUAUAUUUUAAUUGAUGAAUUAGGUGAAUGUCAGUAAAGGGGAAACCAUAAAAAAUAAAUUAUUUUGCGAAGUUUACAUUUAGAUUCAGAAAAAAAUCCUCCUGUAGUUAACUAAAGGUAGUAAAUAAAUAUAUCUCAAUAGCAUCAUACAUGUUUCAAUCAAUGUUUAAACGAAUUGAAAAAAAGUAGAAAAAACAAAAAUACCGAAAUCCAAGCAAAAUUAAAAACGGAAAGUUCCAUUACAAUUGGCAAAAUCAAAAUCUCAAACACAUCAAAUGAAUGGGAAACAACUGUCAUAUUCCUGACUUGGAACACUAGAUCCACAAAAUAACUCAUCCUUAAAAUGAAAAUAACAUUUUAUAAAUAUUGUGCGAUCGAAAAGGUUUCUGGACUGACCUUUUCCAAGAUUGCUGUCACUCAAAAAUAUGAAAGCCAAGGAUGUAUAACUACUCUGAUACUUCAUUACCUAUCUGACAAAACAGAAGUCUAUAUAAAUAGCCAAAACCUACUUCUUAUGAAUCAUUUUAAUCAUAAAGUAAUUAUUUUUUCUGGAUCUUAAUUUUAAUUUUUUUGAAUUUGUUUUUGAUAAUUAAGUUGAUCAUCAUCACCUGACCCAACGACGAACCAUGGUUUGAUUACUGUGUCGCAGUUAUAAAUCUUCCAAUCUGUUGUUAGAUUAUCAAUUGAAAUGGAAAUGAUUGUUGAUGUAUGUUAUAUGAACAAAUUAAGGGAAAGAAAACUUUAUAAAUUUUGUAUAGGAACUCCACCCCUCCCUUCCCCGAAAAAAAAAGUUUAACCCACAAAUUUAACUUAGAGGUCAGUUUUUUAUAUACUCUUUUGUUAAGUAAAUCUGCAUUUUACACGUCCUUAUGUCUGCAUACUAAUGAUAUAAUAGAAGAAACUUAAUAUAAAGUAUACAGGGGCGGAUCCAGCCAUUUUAAAAGGGGGGGGUUCCCAACCCAGGACAAAGGGGGGGGCGGUCGAACUAGAUGUCCCCAUUCAAAUGCAUUGAUCGUCAAAAAAAAGGGGGGUCUAACCCCCGGAACCCUCCCCCUGGAUCCGCCACUGGUAUACAAGGCAUCAUAUUCUUAAGUCAUUAUGCCUGCAUGCAAACAGGUUUAUGCUGAGCGCCAAUUUUGCGCAAUAAUUCCAACUUGUGCAACAAACAAACUUAUGUAUAAACUUACUGCUUAUCAAGUGAGUAACAAUUAGCAACGACAAGCAAAAUUGAAAGGUUUUCUUCAAAAUGUAAACUAUUUUCUUUUUGUUGAUAAGAUUCGAAAAUACGAUAUAAUUCGAUGUUAUUUAGAACGUUUUCUUUUAUAAAGACAGAAAAUAUGAUUUUGUGGACAACAUAAUAAUGGAAUGAAUAUAUGAUGGAUGAUUGAAUUAUUCUCUAAGUGACUUUUUUUUAUAAUAAAGCAAAAUAAUUAUUUUUUUCAGUUUCCGUUGAUUAUUUAACUAAUCUUGAAUGCAAAGAUCAUAUUUAGUAUGUUUGACAAUAUUCACUUACAUAAGAAGUACUUUACACAGUUAUGGAUAUUUUUCAGGUGUAUUAUGGAGAAAAUCUACAGUAUACUUUUCAUAAUUGCAUGCACUGUCACCGUAAAUGGAUGCCCUACAUUAUGCAGAUGCUCGGGCACGAAUGUUUAUUGCAACAACAAAUCUCUUACGAAAGUUCCGAGAUAUAAUAUACCGAGAUCAACAAGAGCAUU
rnacentral:lncRNA from 1 species